rnacentral:rRNA from 1 species
UACGGAGGGUGCAAGCGUUAUCCGGAUUCACUGGGUUCAAAGGGUGCGUAGGUGGGUUGGUAAGUCAGUGGUGAAAUCUCCGAGCUUAACUUGGAAACUGCCAUUGAUACUAUCAGUCUUGAAUAUUGUGGAGGUCAGCGGAAUAUGUCAUGUAGCGGUGAAAUGCUUAGAUAUGACAUAGAACACCAAUUGCGAAGGCAGCUGGCUACGCAUAUAUUGACACUGAGGCACGAAAGCGUGGGGAUCAAACAGG